AGACCCGAAACCCGGUGAUCUAGCCAUGGGCAGGUUGAAGGUUGGGUAACACUAACUGGAGGACCGAACCGACUAAUGUUGAAAAAUUAGCGGAUGACCUGUGGCUGGGGGUGAAAGGCCAAUCAAACCGGGAGAUAGCUGGUUCUCCCCGAAAGCUAUUUAGGUAGCGCCUCGUGAACUCAUCUCCGGGGGUAGAGCACUGUUUCGGCUAGGGGGCCAUCCCGGCUUACCAACCCGAUGCAAACUGCGAAUACCGGAGAAUGUUAUCACGGGAGACACACGGCGGGUGCUAACGUCCGUCGUGAAGAGGGAAACAACCCAGACCGCCAGCUAAGGUCCCAAAGUCAUGGUUAAGUGGGAAACGAUGUGGGAAGGCCCAGACAGCCAGGAUGUUGGCUUAGAAGCAGCCAUCAUUUAAAGAAAGCGUAAUAGCUCACUGGUCGAGUCGGCCUGCGCGGAAGAUGUAACGGGGCUAAACCAUGCACCGAAGCUGCGGCAGCGAACGUAUCACCCAAGACAACUUUGCGGAGUUGACGAUUGACGGAGCGAAGCGACGUCAAAGCGUUCAUUAAAGUCGAGUUGGCUUAGGGAUACGUUCGUUGGGUAGGGGAGCGUUCUGUAAGCCAGUGAAGGUGUGUCGUGAGGCAUGCUGGAGGUAUCAGAAGUGCGAAUGCUGACAUAAGUAACGAUAAAGCGGGUGAAAAGCCCGCUCGCCGGAAGACCAAGGGUUCCUGUCCAACGUUAAUCGGGGCAGGGUGAGUCGACCCCUAAGGCGAGGCCGAAAGGCGUAGUCGAUGGGAAACGGGUUAAUAUUCCCGUACUUGGUGUUACUGCGAAGGGGGGACGGAGAAGGCUAUGUUGGCCGGGCGACGGUUGUCCCGGUUUAAGCGUGUAGGUGUGUGUUCCAGGUAAAUCCGGUUCACUUUAACACUGAGGCGUGACGACGAGGCACUACGGUGCUGAAGUAACAAAUGCCCUGCUUCCAGGAAAAGCCUCUAAGCAUCAGGUAACAUCAAAUCGUACCCCAAACCGACACAGGUGGUCAGGUAGAGAAUACCAAGGCGCUUGAGAGAACUCGGGUGAAGGAACUAGGCAAAAUGGUGCCGUAACUUCGGGAGAAGGCACGCUGAUAUGUAGGUGAAGCGGUUUACCCGUGGAGCUGAAAUCAGUCGAAGAUACCAGCUGGCUGCAACUGUUUAUUAAAAACACAGCACUGUGCAAACACGAAAGUGGACGUAUACGGUGUGACGCCUGCCCGGUGCCGGAAGGUUAAUUGAUGGGGUCAGCGCAAGCGAAGCUCCUGAUCGAAGCCCCGGUAAACGGCGGCCGUAACUAUAACGGUCCUAAGGUAGCGAAAUUCCUUGUCGGGUAAGUUCCGACCUGCACGAAUGGCGUAAUGAUGGCCAGGCUGUCUCCACCCGAGACUCAGUGAAAUUGAACUCGCUGUGAAGAUGCAGUGUACCCGCGGCAAGACGGAAAGACCCCGUGAACCUUUACUAUAGCUUGACACUGAACAUUGAGCCUUGAUGUGUAGGAUAGGUGGGAGGCUUUGAAGUGUGGACGCCAGUCUGCAUGGAGCCGACCUUGAAAUACCACCCUUUAAUGUUUGAUGUUCUAACGUGGACCCGUAAUCCGGGUUGCGGACAGUGUCUGGUGGGUAGUUUGACUGGGGCGGUCUCCUCCUAAAGAGUAACGGAGGAGCACGAAGGUUGGCUAAUCCUGGUCGGACAUCAGGAGGUUAGUGCAAUGGCAUAAGCCAGCUUGACUGCGAGCGUGACGGCGCGAGCAGGUGCGAAAGCAGGUCAUAGUGAUCCGGUGGUUCUGAAUGGAAGGGCCAUCGCUCAACGGAUAAAAGGUACUCCGGGGAUAACAGGCUGAUACCGCCCAAGAGUUCAUAUCGACGGCGGUGUUUGGCACCUCGAUGUCGGCUCAUCACAUCCUGGGGCUGAAGUAGGUCCCAAGGGUAUGGCUGUUCGCCAUUUAAAGUGGUACGCGAGCUGGGUUUAGAACGUCGUGAGACAGUUCGGUCCCUAUCUGCCGUGGGCGCUGGAGAACUGAGGGGGGCUGCUCCUAGUACGAGAGGACCGGAGUGGACGCAUCACUGGUGUUCGGGUUGUCAUGCCAAUGGCACUGCCCGGUAGCUAAAUGCGGAAGAGAUAAGUGCUGAAAGCAUCUAAGCACGAAACUUGCCCCGAGAUGAGUUCUCCCUGAGACUUAGAGUCUCCUGAAGGAACGUUGAAGACGACGACGUUGAUAGGCCGGGUGUGUAAGCGCAGCGAUGCGUUGAGCUAACCGGUACUAAUGAACCGUGAGGCUUAACCUUACA
rnacentral:rRNA from 1 species